rnacentral:rRNA from 1 species
UACGUAGGGUGCAAGCGUUAAUCGGAAUUACUGGGCGUAAAGCGUGCGCAGGCGGUUUUGUAAGUCUGUCGUGAAAUCCCCGGGCUCAACCUGGGAAUUGCGAUGGAGACUGCAAGGCUAGAAUCUGGCAGAGGGGGGUAGAAUUCCACGUGUGAGGCAGUGAAAUGCGUAGAGAGUAUGGGAGGAACACCGAUGGCGUAGGCAGAUAACUGGCUCGAUUCCUGACACUA